AUCCUGCCUUGGAAUGGAGACUGAACUAAAAAAAAAAACGCAGCUUGAAGGUUGGUGUUCCCACUGCCACCACAGGCAAAAAGAUAAAGGAGAAGAUAUGUUGGCAUAGGGUAUAUAAUAGAAUCAAAAGCCUGAAGAAUAGAACAUUAAAGCCUUUGUUAUUAUACUAGCACUUUUUUUGGGAGGUGAAGACAGUAUUAGAUUUAUGUUCUGUUCUGGACUCUGCCAUUGAUUAACUGUGUAACCUUGGAGGAAAAAGUGAGCAAAGCUAAGAACUCAGAAAAGGGCUUUAGUUGGGUCUGGCAACAGACCUCAGAACUGGCUACCACCUGAUGCCCAGUCAGAAGAGCAGACCUGGAAAGAAUAUCCAAAUCCCACCUUUACUACUUCGGUUUUAUCACUGCUUCAGCAGUUCCAAAAAAGAGCAAGCUGCUAAGAAGUUCCCCUACCCAGCAGAGGAUUGGAGACGCCCAGAAGAGGAGAGAUUUGAAGGGAACCAGCAUGAUGCAUGGAAUGCCAUCUCUGAGGACCCAUGGAAAUUUCAUUUCUGUGAAGAUUAGAUUGAAACUCAUCACCGGAAGAAGGAAAAAUGCUACUACAAAGCAAAACCUCAAGAACUCUUCUAGUAAGCUGUCCCCUAAUAAAGGCUGACAAGAAUGCCAAGAAAUUUCAUAUUUAUUUCAUUUUGCUUGAUAACACUUUGAGAACAAUCUGUUUAAUUGAUUCACUGUCUUAAUUAAUGCCAAAAUAAUUAAAAACUGAUGGAUAUUUUACCCUUGAGUUCAUUCUGCACGUUCCCAAAGGCUCUCUUUUUUUCUUUCCCCCCCUACCCAUAGCUACUGAAUUGUUUGGAGCUUUGUUUGUGAUUUUUUCAACUGGACGAGAAAGUUAAUGGUAAACCUCUAAAGCUGGGCAAAACAUUUUUUUUCAUAAAAGCAAUGUAAUUAGGAUAAAAAAUAUGUUAUUUCAUUGUUUGAAGUUGCCUGUGUAAUCUUAAGAGAAAGCACUUUUUUUAAAAAUUUUAUUAAAUGGAAGAACUUCUUAAUAGGUAGAUUUUUGUAUAUUUCAGCACAGCAGGUAGCCAGGAACUGCUAGGCUGAGGACAAAGGAAUCGGUGACUUUUGCUGAUCCUUGUCCUUUACCUGUCUACACUUUUCCCUGAGUGUGUUGCUCUGAAGUUUGUUGUCUCUUCAGUAGGGGCAUCUGGGUCCCAGAACUUGAAUUCUAAUCCUGCCUAAGAUUCCCAAAGAACAAUUCUAUUUUUAACUCUAGUCUGAGGGUUCCUCUCUUGCAAAAAGAUAGCAGUAGAAAGAAAGUUAAAAGUUACCUCUAGGUAACUCUAGUGCAAAACUAGGUACUCUAGUACAAAAAUGAAUCAGCUAUUAUGAACCAUUUCGAGCCACUCAUCACUGGAGAAAGGUUUAAAACCUAUAUUGUCCAUUCAGGAGAAAAGCAUUUUUGUCUCACUCUGAGCUUAAUCUACCAUAACACUUUGCAUGCUCUGGCAAAACAGAUAUGCUUUGCUCUGUUCUCUGAGUGAACCCAAAAUUCCAUUUCCUGUGUCAACAACUACAAGGCCAGAUGAAGCUUAAAAGGUAUAUUCUUCUCUUUAUGACUGCCAAGGACAAGCAGUCAUGAAGUGGAGACUAUCUUGAAUAAUGGGACUUUUCAUUAUGUCAUGUUAUGUUAUGUUACGUUAAGUUAUGUUAUGUUAUGUUAUGUUAUGUUAUGUUAUGUUGUGUUAUGCUAUGUUGUUAUGUUAUAUUAUGUUAGGUUGAUAGAAGAAACACAGAUAUACUGGAAAUAUAAUUUCACUUGUCAGUUUGACACAUCUUACUAUAUUUAUAAUCUAUCCUAUCAAGAAAAUUUCUUUCUCAUAUUAUGGUUAACACAUAUAAAGACUAUAAUUGUUGUUGACACAGUCAUCCUGAGUUGAGAUUGCUCUAAGGGUCUCCUUCCACUUGCUUUCCUCUGAAUUCAAAAUUAUUUUCUGAUUCCAUGCGUGCAUGAUUUUCUGGAUUAAUGAGAAUAAAUAAGCACAUUGUAACACA